UUCCUGCAAGGAGGGAGGGCGGGGCGGUAGCAGAGUCGGCCUAGGUGGAGAGACUGGGCAGAGGGCAGAGCAGGAGGGCUGGCUCCAUCUUUCUCAUUCCCUGGUCUUCUCCUUGGGGUCCUAGAGGGUCUGAACACCCGGAUUCCUGCCCCUUCCCACUUCCCCGUGGCUGCAGCCUCCUGCCAUCACUGACACCCUUAGGUGAGUGUCUUACAGCAUGGAACAGCACCGACACCCUGAGGUGAAUGUCCUACAGCCUGGAACAGCACCCAGCACCCUCAGGUGACAGACUGGAACAGCACUGACACCCUCAGGUGAGUGUCCUACAUCCUGCAACAGCACCCAACACCCUCAGGUGAGUGUGUUACAGCAUGGAAUAGCAUUGACACCCUCAUGUGAGUGUCCUACAGACUACGACAGCACCCAACACCCUCAGGUCAGUGUCUUACAGCCUGGAACAGCACCCAGUACUGUCAGGUGAGUCUUAAAGCCUGAAACAGCACCCAACACCAUUAGGUGAGUCUCUUACAACCUGGAACAGCACCCAAUACCUUCAGGUGAGGGUCUUACAGCCAGGAACAGCACCCAACACCCUCAGGUGAAUGUCUUACAGCCUGAAACAGCACCCAACACCCUCAGGUGAGUGUCUUACAGCCUGGAACAGCACCCAACACCCUCAGGUCAGUGUCUUACAGCCUGGAACAGCACCCAAUACCGUCAGGUGAGUCUUACAGCCUGGAAGAGCAUCCAACACUAUUAGGUGAGUGUCUUACAGCCUGGAACAGCACCCAAUACCUUCAGGAGAGUGUCUUACAGCUUGGAACAGCACCCAACACCCUCAGGUGAGUGUCUUACAGCCUGGAACAGCACCCAACACCCUCAGGUCAGUGUCUUACAGCCUGGAACAGCACCCAAUACCGUCAGGUGAGUCUUACAGCCUGAAACAGCACCCAACACCCUCAGGUGAGUGUCUUACAGCCUGGAACAGCACCCAACACCCUCAGGUGAGUGUCUUACAGCCUGGAACAGCACCCAACACCCUCAGGUCAGUGUCUUACAGCCUGGAACAGCACCCAAUACCGUCAGGUGAGUCUUACAGCCUGGAAGAGCAUCCAACACUAUUAGGUGAGUGUCUUACAGCUUGGAACAGCACCCAACACCCUCAGGUGAGUGUCUUACAGCCUGGAACAGCACCCAGCACCCUCAGGUGAGUGUCUUACAGCCUGGAACAGCACCCAACACCCUCAGGUGAGUGUCUUACAGCCUGGAACAGCACCCAACACCCUCAGGUGAGUGUCUUACAGCCUGGAACAGCACCCAACACCCUCAGGAGAGUGUCUUACAGCCUGGAACAGCACCCAACACCCUCAGGUGAGUGUCUUACAGCCUAGAACAGCACCCAACACCCUCAGGUGAGUGUCUUACAGCCCGGAACAGCACCCAACACCCUCAGGUCAGUAUCUUACAGCCCGGAACAGUACCCAACACCCUCAGGUGAGUGUCUUACAGCCUGGAACAGUACCCAACACCCUCAGGUGAGUGUCUUACAGCGUGGAACAGUACCCAGCACCCUCAGGUGACUGUCUUACAGCCUGGAAUAGCACCCAACACCCUCAGGUGAGUGUCUUACAGCCUGGAAGAGCACCCAGCACCCUCAGGUGAGUGUCUUACAGCCGGGAACAGUACCCAACACCGUCAGGUGAUUCUUACAGCCUGGAACAGCACACAACACCAUUAGGUGAGUCUCUUACAACCUGGAACAGCACCCAACACCAUUAGGUGAGUCUCUUACAACCUGGAACAGCACCCAACACCCUCAGGUGAGUGUCUUACAGCCCGGAACAGUACCCAACACCCUCAGGUCAGUGUCUUACAGCCCGGAACAGUACCCAACACCCUCAGGUGAGUGUCUUACAGCCUGGAACACCACCCAACACCCUCAGGUGAGUGUCUUUUAGCCUGGAACAGCACACAGCACCCUCAGGUCAGUGUCUCACAGCCUGGAACAGCACCCAAUACCGUCAGGUGAGUCUUACAGCUUGGAACAGCACCCAACACCAUUAGGUGAGUUUCUUACAACCUGGAACAGCACCCAGUACCUUCAGGUGAGUGUCUUACAGCCUGGAGCAGCACCCAGCACCCUCAGGUGAGUGUCUUACGGCCUGGAACAGCACCGAACACCCUCAGGUGAGUGUCUCACGGCCUGGAACAGCACCCAACACCCUCAGGUGAGUGUCUUACAGCCCGGAACAGUACCCAAUACCAUCAGGUGAGUCUUACAGCCUGGAACAGCACCCAACACCCUCAGGUGAGUGUCUUACAGCCCGGAACAGUACCCAAUACCAUCAGGUGAGUCUUACAGCCUGGAACAGCACCCAACAUUAUUAGGUGAGUCUCUUACAACCUGGAACAGCACCCAGUACCUUCAGGUGAGUGUCUUACAGCCUGGAACAGCACCCAACACCCUCAGGUGAGUGUCUUACGGACUGGAACAGCACCGAACACCCUCAGGUGAGUGUCUUACAGCCUGGAACAGUACCCAACACCCUCAGGUCAGUGUCUUACAGCCCGGAACAGUACCCAACACCCUUAGGUGAGUGUUUUACAGCCUGGAACAGCACUCAACACCCUCAGGUGAAUGUCUUAUAGCCUGGAACAGCACCCAGCACCCUCAGGUCAGUGUCUUACAGCCUGGAACAGCACCCAAUACCGUCAGGUGAGUCUUACAGCCUGGAACAGCACCCAACACCAUUAGGUGAGUUUCUUACAACCUUGAACAGCACCCAAUACCUUCAGGUGAGUGUCUUACAGCCUGGAACAGCACCCAACACCCUCAGGUGAGUGUCUUACGGCCUGGAACAGCACCGAACACCCUCAGGUGAGUGUCUUACAGCCUGGAACAGCACCCAACACCCUCAGAUGAGUGUCUUACAGCCCGGAACAGUACCCAAUACCAUCAGGUGAGUCUUACAGCCUGGAACAGCACCCAACACCCUCAGGUGAGUGUCUUAUAGCCUGCAACAGCACUGACACCCUCUGGUGAGCGUGUGACAGCCUGGAAUAGCACCCAGCACCCUCAAGUGAGUGUCUUAGAGUUUGGAACAGCACCCAACACCCUUAGAUGAGUGUCUUACAGCCCGGAACAGUACCCAACACCCUAACGUGAGUGUCUUAUAGCCCGGAACAGCACCCAGCACCCUCAGGUGAGUGUCUUACAGCCUGGAACAGCACCCAACACCCUCAGGUGAGUGUCUUACAGCCCGGAACAGCACCCAACACCCUCAGGUGAGUGUCUUACAGCCUGGAACAGCACACAGCACCCUCUAGUGAGUGUCUUACAGCCUGAAGUAGCACCUAACACCCUCAAGUGAGUGUGUCAGUCUGGACCAGCACCCACCACCCUCAUGGGAGUGUCUUAUAGCCUGGAACAGCAUCCAGUGUUCUCAGGUGAGUGUCUUACAGCCUGAAACAAUACCAAAACCCUCAGGUGAGUAUGUGACAGCCUGGAACAGCAUUCUCCAACUGCAGAUAAGCAUCUGACAACAUGGAACAAGACCCCACAGUACCAGAUAGGUGUUCGUCUGAUAGCAUAAACAGCACCCUACACCUCCAGGUGAAAAUCUGAUCACCUUUAUGGCACCCCACACUCCCAGGUGAGCAUCUGACUGCCCGGAACAGCAUCCCACCCACAGGUAAGCAGCUGACAGCUUGGAAUGGCAACACACACCUAAAGGCAAGCAUCUGAUGGCCUGGAACACCACUCGACACUUCCAGGUGAAUAUCAGGCAGUCUGCAAUGGUACUCCACACACCCAGGUGAGCAUCUGACAGCCUGCAACAGCAUCCCACCCCCAAGUGACUAUGUGACAGCCUGGAACAGCAUUCUCCAAUCCCAGGUGAGUAUUGGACAACCUGGAACAGAAUCUCACUCUUCCAGGUGAGGAUCUGACAGCAUAAAACAGCAUUCUACAUCCCGAGGUGAGCAUCUGACAGCAUUGAAUGACACCUCACACUCCAAAAUAAGCAUUUGGUAGUGUGGAACAAAACCCCAUAUCCCCAUGUGAGCAUUUGAUAGCCUGGAAUGGCUCCCCUACCCUAGGUAUGCAUCUGUCAGCCUGAAACAGCACCCUCCACCAUCAGGUGAGCAUCUGACAACCGGAAACUGUACAGUAUAACCCCAGGUGAGCAUCUGACAGCAUGGAACAACUCCCCGACCCACAGAUGAGCAUCUAACUGCCUGGAACAGCACUUCUGCUCAGGUGACAGCCUGGAAGAGCUGUUGCCAUCUUCAGGUGAGCAUUUCACAGUCUGAAACAAACCCACCCACAGGUGAGCCUCUGACAGCCUGGAAUGGCACCCUUCAUCACCAGGUAAGCAUCUUACAGCCUAGACCAGCACUCCACACCAUGAAAUGAGCACCAGACAGCCUGGAAUGGCACCCCACACCUUCAGGUGAGCAUGAGGAAGCCUGGAAUCACACCCACACCUCCAGGUGAAAGUGUAACAGCCUGAGACAGCAUUCUCUAAUGACAGGUGAGGACCUGACAACCUGGAACAGAACCCCACACCCUCAGGUGAGCCUCUGACAGCCUAGAAUGGCACCCCACACUCCCACGUGAGCAUCUCAUAGACUGGAAGGGCAUUCCACAAACCCAAAUGAACUUGUGACAAGCCAUAACAGAACCCCCACCCCCAAGUGGGCACCUGACAGCCUAAAGCAGCACCCUCCACCCCCAGGGGAGCAUCUGACUGCUUAGAACGACACCAUCAUACUCAGGUGAGCAUCUGACAAGCUGGAUCAACACGCAAACCUUCAGGAAAGCAUAUGACAGCCUGGCCCGCAGCCUUCACAUUCAGGUGAGCAUCUGAUAGUUUUAAACGGCAGCCUACAACCUCAGGUCAGCAUCGGACAGCCUGGGACAGCAUUCUCUAACCCCAGGUGAACAUCUGACAGCCUGAAAAAGCACCCCCACACCCUCAGUUGAGCAUCUGAUGGGCUGGAACAGCAGCCCACACCCCCAGGUGAGCAUCUGACGGGCUGGAACAGCAGCCCACACCCCCAGGUGAGCAUCUGAUGGGCUGGAACAGCAGCUUACACCCUCAGGUGAGAAUCUGACGGGCUGGAACAGCAGCCCACAUUCCCAGGUGAGAAUCUGACGGGCUGGAACAGCAGCCCACAUUCUCAGGUGAGAAUCUGAUGGGCUGAAACAGCAGCCCACACUCUCAGGUGAGCAUCUGACGGGCUGGAACAGCAGCCCACACCCUCAGGUGAGCAUCUGACGGGCUGGAACAGCAGCCCACACUCCCAGGUGAGAAUCUCACGGGCUGGAACAGCAGCCCACACUCCCAGGUGAGCAUCUGACAGGCUGGAACAGCAGCCCACAUCCUCAGGUGAGCAUCUGACGGGCUGGAACAGCAGCCCACACUCCCAGGUGAGCAUGUCUUGUCAUGAACCUGGGAGUGGACCCCUCCUGCCCCUGCCCUGCAUCCUAUUGUGUAGACAGCUCAGGCUAGUACCCAAGAGGGUGACCAGUGGUCUCACAGGGGACAUUCCUUGUGUCCUGCCUGUUUACAGGCUAAAGGAACCACUCUUCAGCCACAACUCCUUUUCCGCCCCACCUGCAUUCACCGGAGGUUGAUGGGAGCGCUGUGUAGGAGACAGGAAGGAGAGGGGCAGGCAGCACCUGAGCACAUCCCCAGGGUGCCUCCUCUGAUCCCCAGGAGGGGCAGCACCCACCCUGCUCUUUCUCCAACUUGUUUUUAUUGUGGUACAAUAUACAUAACGUAAAACUUACCUUCUUAAUUGUUUUGAUGUGCGCAGUUGGUGGCAUUAUAUACAUGUGUAAUGUAGCCAUCACCACCAUCCCUUUCCAGAACCAGCUCAUCUUCCCAAACUGAAACUCUCUCCCUGAUAAACACUCUCCAUUCACCUCCCCCAACCCCAGGCACCCAGCAUCUUACUUCCUGGCUCUGUGAUUCAAUGACUCCAGGGACCUCAUAGAAGUGGAAUCACACAGUGUUUGUCCUUUUGUGGUGGCUGCUUAUUUCACUGAGAUAAUGUGCUCGAGGUUCAUCCAUGUCAUAGAGUGUACCGGAAUUUCCUUCCUUUUUAAGGCUGAAUACUUCCCCAUUGUAUGGAUGGACCCCGUUUUGCUUAUCCGCCCAUCCAUCAGUGGACCCUGGGUGCCUUCCUCAUCCAGGCUCUUGUGAGCAAGGCUGCCAUCUAUGAACUUGGGUGUACAAAUAUCUCUGAAAGACCCUGCUUCCAUUUCUUUUGGGUACAGACCCAGAUGUGGAACUGCUCGGUCAUAUGGUAGUUCUAUUUUUAACUUUUUGGGACAUGGCCAUCCCCUUUUCCAGAGUGCUGCACCAUUUUACCUUCCCACCAACAGUGCAGAAGGUUCCAGUUUCUUCACAUCCCCACCAACACUUGUUAUUUUCUUUUUAAAAAACUUUAUGGCCAGGUGCGGUGGUUCACACCUGUAAUCCCAGCACUUUGGGAGGCUGAGGUGGGCUGAUCCCCUGAGGUCAGGAGAUCAAGAGCAUGCUGGCCAGCAUGGUGAAACCCCGUCUCUACUAAGAAUACAAAAAACUAGCCGGGAGUGGUGGUGGGUACCUGUAAUCCAGGCUGAGGCAAGAGAAUUGCUUGAACUCGGGAGGCAGAGGUUGCAGUGAGCCAAGAUCAUGCCACUGCACUCCAGCCUGGGCAAUAGAGUGAGACUCCACCUCAAAAAAAAAAAAAAAAAAAAUCCAAAAAGCAAACAAACAAAACUUUACAGUAGCCAUCCGACAGGAAUGAGGUGUGUCUCACUGUUGUUCUGAUCUGUGCUCCCUGAUGAUUGGUGAGGUCCAGCAUCUUUUCAUGUGCUCCGUGUCCGUGUGUAUCUUUUUUUAGGGAAAUGUCCACUUAAGUCCUUUGCUCAUUUUUGAAUUGGGUUUUGGCUUUAUUGUUGUUGAGCUUUAGGACUUUUCUGUGGAUUCUGGAUAUUGAUUCCUGAUCUGUGAUUUUCAAAUAUUGUGGUUUUCUUCUAUCCUGUCAGUUGCCUUUUUCCUCUGUUAUAAUAGUGUCCUUUGGGGCAUAAAAGUUGUAAUUUUCAUGAAAUCCAACUUUAUUUUUUCUUUUGCUGCCUGUGUGUUUGGUGUUGUGGCCCAGAAGUCAUGGCCAAAUCCAACACUGUGAAGCUUCCCCCAACCAUGUUUACUUCUAAGACAUUUAUAGUUUCAGAUUUUUUGAUCUAUUUUGAAUUAAUUUUUGUAUGUGGUGUUGGGAAAGAGUCCAAUUUCAUUCUUUUGCAUAGUUUUCCCUGCAACAUUUGUGGAAAAGACUGUCCCUCUCCACUGAAUGGUCUUGGUCAAAUCAUUUGACCAUAUUUGGGAGGGUUCAUUUCUGGCUCUCUAUUCUGUUCCAUUGGUCUCUGUGUCUGUUUUUGUGCCAGUACCACACUAUUUUGAUCACUGUAGCUUUGUAGUAAGUUUUAAAAUCAGGAAGUGUGAAACUGCCAGCUUGUUGAUUCUUUUUCAGAAUUGUUUUGGCUGUUUGCAGUCCCCUAAGAGUCCACAGGAAUUUUAGAUUUUAGCUUUUCCAUUUCUGUAAAAAACAUUGAAAUGUUGACAGGAAUUGCAGUCAAUCUAUAGAUCACUUUGAAUAAUACUGACUUCUUACCAAUAUGAAGUCUUCCAAUCCAUGAACAUGGAAUAUUUCUAUUUAUUUACAUCUUCUUUAAUUUCUUCUAGCAAUGUUUUGUAGUUUUCACCUCAUUGGUUAAUUCUAAGUAUUUUAUUCUUUUUGAUGCUAUUGUAGAUGGAAUUACAGUUGACCCUUGAACAACAUGGGUUAAAACUAUGUGGGUCCAUUAAUAUGUGAUUUUUUUUCAAUAAAUAUAGUCGGCCUUUUGUAUUGGUGGGUUCUGAAUCCACAGCCAAAUAAAUGCAGAUCAAUUCUUGGGAUGUGAAAUCCUUGUAUACAGAGGGCCAACUUUUUGUAUUUAGGGGUUGGAGGUUCCACAGGGCUUGAGUAUGUGGGGAUUUUAGUAUCUGAGGGUUGUCCUGGAACCAAUCACACAUGGAUACCAAGAGAUGACUGUAUUUUAUUAAUUCCCAUUUUGAAUUGUUCAUUAUUAAUGUACAAAAAUGCAACUGAUUUUUCUGUUGCCUUUGUAUCCUACUUUGCUGAAUUCAUUUAUUUGUUCUAACAGUUCGUGUGUGUGUGUGUGUGUGUGUAAUCUUUAGGGAUUUCUUCAUAUCAGAUCUGUGAACAGAGAUAAUUUUAUUUCUUUUCAAAUUUGGAUGAUUGGUAUUUUUUUUCUUGUCUACUUAUCUGGCUCUAACUUCCAGUGCAGUGUUGAGGAGACGUGCAAAAGCAAUCAUCCUUUUCUUAUUCCUGAUCUUAGAGAAGCUUUUCUUUUUCACCAGUGAGUUUGCUGUGGGUUUUGCGUAUAUGGAUUUUAUAUUGAGGCAGUUUCCUUCUAUUCUUAGUUUGCUGAGUGUUCUUAUCAUAAAAGGGUGUUGAAUGUUAUCAAAUGCUUUCCUGCAUCAGUCGAGAUGAUCAUUUUUUCCCGUUCAUUCUGUUAAUAUGGUAUAUUACAUUAAUUGACAUUUGUAUGUUGAACCAUCCUUGCAUUCUAGCAAUAAAUCUCACUUGGUCAUGGUGUGUCAUCCUUUUAACAAUUGCUGAAUUUGUUUUGUUAGUAUUUUGUUGAGGAUUUUUGCCUCAAUAUUCAUACGGGAUAAUGGUCUGUAGGUUCUUGUAGUGUCUUUGGCUAUGGUAGCAGGGUAAUGCUGGUCUCAAAGAAUGAAUGAGGAGGUGUUCCUUCCCCUUUAAAUUUUUGGAAAAGUUUGAGGAUUGGAGAUUGGUGUUAGCUCUUUAAAUGUUUGGUAGAAUUCGCCAGUGAAGCCAUCAGGUCCUGGCCUUUGUUGCGAGAUUGUUGAUUACUGACUCAAUCUUUUUACUAGUUAUAGGUCUAUUCAGACCUUCUAUUUCUUCAUGAUUUAGUCUUGGUAGGUUUUGUGUUUCUAGUGAUUUGCCCACUUCAUCUAGAUUAGCUGAUUUGCUGACUUACAAUUGGUCCUAUUACUAUCUUAUAAUUAUUUUUAUUUCUGUAGAAUGGGUAAUAAUGACUUCAUUUUCAUUUCUGGUUUCAAUGAUUUGAAUUUUCUCUUUCUUAGUCCACCUGGCAAAAGGUUUGUCAAAUUUUAUCUUUUCAAGGAACCAACUUUUGUUUUCAUUGAUUUUUCUCUAUUUAUUCUCCUCUGUUUUGUUGAUCUUUGCUGUAAUCUCCUUUCUCCCUCCCUUCCUCCCCUCCCUCCCUUCCUUCUUUCCUUAGUUUAUCCCUCCCUCCCCUUCUUUCCUUUCUUCCUUUCUUUUUUCUCUCUUUCUUUCUUUCUGUUCAUUUGUUCUUUUUCUAGUUUCUUAAGUUAUAAAAUAGGUUGCUGACUUGAGAUCUUUCUUCUUUUUUAAUGGAAGCAUUUACAGCUAUACAUUUCCCCUCAGCAUUGCUUUCCCUGUGUCUCAUGAUGUGGGGUGUGUUGUUUUCCUUUUCACUCAUCUCUAAGCAUUGUCUGACUUCUUUUGUGAUUUCUGCUGUAAUUCAUUGGUUGUUUAGCCCCCUCCUCCUUUUACAGUGGAGGAAACUGAGGCCUGGGGAGGUGAAGUGAUUUGGCUGCGGUUGCUUAGCUGGACCUGGACCAGACUUUUCUGGGCUCCACAGAGACAGUGCUCAGGGCAACAGGCUUGGGCUGAGCACACAGGUCCAGUGUGAGUCCCUCAGAGUUAGACAACAUGGAAUUCAGUGCAGUUGCAAGAAAGGAAUGCUCAUAAACAAACAGAACAGAAACCAUCUUCCAGCACAUAGGCCUCCCCCAGCUGAGUGGGAUCUGUCUUCUUGCCAGUGCCCCUCUUCCAACUUUAAAUUUGGAGCAGUUUCUGCAGAAGAAAGUCUUAAAUGCAUAGAUACUGAACUUCAGAGCAGGUACAUGAAGCUCAGAUCAGGGUCCAGGGGCUGCACCCCUGCACCUGUCUGUGGCAGACAUGGCUGACCAAGGCCAGCAGCUACUCCCUCUGUGCAUGUCCUCCAAACUCCUCUCAACACAGGGGCCAGGCAGCCCCACCAGUGUAGCCAAGGGCACACCUCCUGGCCAACACCCCAGAGGGACCCCUGCAUGCACUGAGUGUUAUUGAAGCUGGGGAGGACCCCUAGUACCUCCGAAGGCUUGCAUGUCUAUCCAUGCAGACUGAGGCUGGGAGGAUGAAAGGGCAGGACUCCCAGAAACUGGGUUUGUGGGGACCAGGCUCCCAUGAGCCGCAGUACAGGUGGGGAUGGGAGCACAAGUUUCAGUGGGCAUCUCACUGUUCAGGACGGCUUACCCGGCUCCCUGUCUCCUUGGGGUAGAGGAAGGCAGCACCCUGGGUCCCCCUCCCCUGCUUGCCCAGGCCCAGGUGGGGAAUGGGGCGGCACCUGCAGC